rnacentral:lncRNA from 1 species
AAAAAAAAAAAAAAAAAAGGAAAGUCAACAAAAUUUAUGUAAGGCCAGUACACCAAAAACUACAAAAAAUUGCUUUGAGAAAUUAUGAAAGAACUAAAUUAGUGGGGAGAUAAACCUUGUCAUGGAUCAGAAGAGUUGUUAUGUUUAAAGAGUCAGUUCUUCGUAAAUUGAUCUCCAGAUCCAAUGCAAUUCUAAUAAAAAUUCCAAGCGGCAUUUUGGUAGAAAUUUUCAAGCUGAUUCUACCAUUUAUAUGGUAAUGUCAAUGAUCAAGAAUAAUAAAAUAGCAAUAUUAUAAAAGAAUAAUGGUGAAUGAAUUCACUACCUAUUUCCAGAAUUACUCUACAUACAGCUAUGAAAAUCAAGAUUAUGUGUUUUGUUGAAAAAAAAAUAGAAUAUAUAUCAGUGGAAGAGAAGAGAGAAUCCAGAAAUAGAUACUCACAUGUAUGUCUAAUUGAUUCUUAGGACAUAUAUAUAUGUAUACACACCCACACACACACACACAAACGUGUGUGUGUGUGUGUGUGUGUAUAUAUAUAUAUUCACCGUUUUGAAGAUUAUCAUCUCCAAAUAGGGAAUAUAUAUAUAUAUAUACACACACACACAUAUAUAUAUUGCAGUCUGAUAAGAUAAACAGCACAAUGAAACAAUUUCUCAAAAGACUUGAAUAGAUACUUCAGAAAAGAAGAUACAUGAAUGGUCAAUUAGCAUAGGAAAAGAUGCUCCACUGUUUAGUCAUCAGGGAGAUCAAUCAGUGCAACAAUGAGAUACCAGUACAUAUCCAUAAGAAUGGCUAAAAUUAAAAAGGCUGAAAAUAGCACAUGUUGGUGAGGAUAUAAAGCACUUGGAAGUCUUAUACUUGUAGGAAUGAAAAAUGGUAUUGCUCCUUUGAAAAUCUAACAGUUUCUUAAAGGUUAAACAUAACACAAAUCAGAUAGACAGUCAUUCCAUUCCUAGGAAUUUACACACUGUGUCUGCACAAUGAUCUGUAUGUGUGUUUCCAGACCAACCUGAGGGGCGGGCUGCUAUUUCUCGUGGCUCAGUAACGAGACACAGAUGAACUGGGGAGGAAGAGAGUUUUGACUUCUGCAACUGGUUACAGGGAAACGGCCUGGAAAUUAUCACCAGACCAACUCAAAAUUGGAAAGUUUUCCUGAGCUAAUGUACCUUCUAAGCUAUAUGUGUAUGUGGAAGUGUGCAUUCAUCUAAAUACAUAAGUGAUUAACUUCUUUUAAUCUAUAACUAAGUCUGAGUCCUAAAGACCUUCCUCUGGAACCUCAGUUAAAUUCACUUAAUCUAAGUGGGUCUAGGUGCUGGGGGCCCUUAUCUUGUCUCCUGCUAAAUCACAGAGGUUUGGAGAGUCCCUUCAGAUCUCCAAUAAACUUGUUUGUGGAGGCCUGGGGAGUUUCUUCAGACCCCCAGUAAAACUCGUUUAAUACUAAAUGGCUCCUGUUAAGAAUGCCUUCGUUAUUUCGUCAUGCUUUAAGGCCCAGGAAAAACCUAGGCAAAACUCUUGGUGGGCUUUUGUUACAUUCCAGCCUUUGUAUAAGGGCACUGGCUUCUUUUUUUUUUUCCUCUUAAUAUUUAAUUGAACCACUCAGUCGCUACUGAAACAGUUGUUAGGGAGGCCUGUGUUAGUGAGACCUGGCCUGCUACGUAUGGAUGCUCAUGAUAGUUUCUUCAUAAUAGCCCAAACGCGGAAUGAUAGAAAUGUCCAAUAAUAAGUGAAAGUACAAACAUACAUGGUAUAGCCACAUGAAGGAAUACUACUCAGUCUUUACAAGACAUUACAGAUGGAUUUUAAAAUUACAUUGAUGCAUGAAAGAAGGCAGACACAAAAGAACACAGGUAUCAUUUCAUUUGUAGAAAAUGGUUAAAAAUGCAAACGGACCUGAAGUGACAGUGGCUCCUUGGGGCUGAGGGUUGAAAGGCUGAUGAACUGCAAAGGGGUACAAGAAACUUUGGGGCAUAGGGAAUUUCCUCUAUCUUGGUUGUGGCAGUAGUUCCGUUAGUGCAUCCAUUUGUAAACGUGCAUUGAAUUACACAUUUUAAAGUGGUGCAGUCUGUUGUACCGAAAUUAUGCCUUUAUAAAGUUGAUUUCAUCAUCUUAAUUUCUCCAUACUAGCAAUUAGCAGCUAGAAAAUGAAAUUCAAUAAAACAUAAUAGAGAUUAAUAGCCAGAAUCAUUACAUGCUUAACAACACAUGCAAUGAAGCAGGUACGAGGCCCCUAAAAGCAAUUGGUGAGAAAAAUUAAAGAAGGCUAAAUAAAUAUAUAUCAUGUUCAUUGAUUGGAAGACUCAAUUUUGUUAGCAUAUUACAUCAACACAAUUCUGAUUAAUAUUUCUAGUAGGAGAUUUUAGAGAAAUUUGAAAGCUAGUUUCAAAAUGUAUUUGAAAAUCAAAGAACCUAGAAUAAGCAAGUCGGUCUU